GAUGAACGCUGGCGGCGUGCCUAAUACAUGCAAGUCGAGCGAACAGACGAGGAGCUUGCUCCUCUGACGUUAGCGGCGGACGGGUGAGUAACACGUGGAUAACCUACCUAUAAGACUGGGAUAACUUCGGGAAACCGGAGCUAAUACCGGAUAACAUUUUGAACCGCAUGGUUCAACAGUAAAAGACGGUCUUGCUGUAACUUAUAGAUGGAUCCGCGCCGCAUUAGCUAGUUGGUAAGGUAACGGCUUACCAAGGCAACGAUGCGUAGCCGACCUGAGAGGGUGAUCGGCCACACUGGAACUGAGACACGGUCCAGACUCCUACGGGAGGCAGCAGUAGGGAAUCUUCCGCAAUGGGCGAAAGCCUGACGGAGCAACGCCGCGUGAGUGAAGAAGGUCUUCGGAUCGUAAAACUCUGUUAUUAGGGAAGAACAAAUGUGUAAGUAACUAUGCACGUCUUGACGGUACCUAAUCAGAAAGCCACGGCUAACUACGUG
rnacentral:rRNA from 1 species